GGCAGGGCCAGUCACUGCCCAAUACUGACUGCCGCUGCCUCCACUAUCGUCACCAAAAUGUCCAAGGCAUUUCCUGGCGCACAGCAGACUCCCGUUGCAAGAAAAUGUUAAACUUCGCUUUAACAAAGGAACGCACGGAAUCGUUCUUUCCCUGCUGUCUCUUCAUCCUUAUUCCUGCAUCCGUGUAUUGUUGGGAUCGCUCCAAUUUCACGUACAUCCUGGAGCCCACCACACAGAAGAGGAAAUGCUUGCCCACAUAACAGCAGCCACUCUUCCAGAAAAGACGUUGCCUGUAGUCCUGGUGGGGGCUCAGCCUGGAGGUAAGGGAGUUAAUGUUUCUGUCCCACAGAAGAGAAGCUCAGAAUUUGCAGAGAGAUGGGUGCCUCGCUGGUUUAGUCAGAAGAGCAUGAGUCUUGAUCUCAGAGUUGUGAGUUUGAGCACCACGUUGGGUGGUUAAAAAAAAAAAAAAAAAAAAAGAAUUUGCAGAGAGAGGGCAGGCUCACCCUCAUCAGGCCUCCUCGGACACGUAUACAAAUCCUGAGCUUCCUCCAUCAUCAGGACAAAGCUGGGUGAAGCCAGCAGGGUUAGAUGUGCUCAC